CAGGCUUAACACAUGCAAGUCGAGGGGCAGCAUGGUCUUAUCUUGCUAAGGCCGAUGGCGACCGGCGCACGGGUGAGUAACACGUAUCCAACCUGCCGUCUACUCUUGGACAGCCUUCUGAAAGGAAGAUUAAUACAAGAUGGCAUCAUGAGUCCGCAUGUUCACAUGAUUAAAGGUAUUCCGGUAGACGAUGGGGAUGCGUUCCAUUAGAUAGUAGGCGGGGUAACGGCCCACCUAGUCUUCGAUGGAUAGGGGUUCUGAGAGGAAGGUCCCCCACAUUGGAACUGAGACACGGUCCAAACUCCUACGGGAGGCAGCAGUGAGGAAUAUUGGUCAAUGGGCGAGAGCUUGAACCAGCCAAGUAGCGUGAAGGAUGACUGCCCUAUGGGUUGUAAACUUCUUUUAUAAAGGAAUAAAGUCGGGUAUGGAUACCCGUUUGCAUGUACUUUAUGAAUAAGGAUCGGCUAACUCCGUGCCAGCAGCCGCGGUAAUACGGAGGAUCCGAGCGUUAUCCGGAUUUAUUGGGUUUAAAGGGAGCGUAGAUGGAUGUUUAAGUCAGUUGUGAAAGUUUGCGGCUCAACCGUAAAAUUGCAGUUGAUACUGGAUAUCUUGAGUGCAGUUGAGGCAGGCGGAAUUCGUGGUGUAGCGGUGAAAUGCUUAGAUAUCACGAAGAACUCCGAUUGCGAAGGCAGCCUGCUAAGCUGCAACUGACAUUGAGGCUCGAAAGUGUGGGUAUCAAACAGGAUUAGAUACCCUGGUAGUCCACACGGUAAACGAUGAAUACUCGCUGUUUGCGAUAUACUGCAAGCGGCCAAGCGAAAGCGUUAAGUAUUCCACCUGGGGAGUACGCCGGCAACGGUGAAACUCAAAGGAAUUGACAGGGGCCCGCACAAGCGGAGGAACAUGUGGUUUAAUUCGAUGAUACGCGAGGAACCUUACCCGGGCUUAAAUUGCAGAUGAAUUACGGUGAAAGCCGUAAGCCGCAAGGCAUCUGUGAAGGUGCUGCAUGGUUGUCGUCAGCUCGUGCCGUGAGGUGUCGGCUUAAGUGCCAUAACGAGCGCAACCCUUGUUGUCAGUUACUAACAGGUUCCGCUGAGGACUCUGACAAGACUGCCAUCGUAAGAUGUGAGGAAGGUGGGGAUGACGUCAAAUCAGCACGGCCCUUACGUCCGGGGCUACACACGUGUUACAAUGGGGGGUACAGAGGGCCGCUACCACGCGAGUGGAUGCCAAUCCCCAAAACCUCUCUCAGUUCGGACUGGAGUCUGCAACCCGACUCCACGAAGCUGGAUUCGCUAGUAAUCGCGCAUCAGCCACGGCGCGGUGAAUACGUUCCCGGGCCUUGUACACACCGCCCGUCAAGCCAUGGGAGCCGGGGGUACCUGAAGUGCGUAACCGCGAGGAGCGCCCUAGGGUAAAACUGGUGACUGG
rnacentral:rRNA from 1 species